rnacentral:lncRNA from 1 species
GGGAAUUGAAACUCAAGAACUCUUCCUGUAGAAAUAUGCACUUAUUAGUUUUUAUUCAUUGGUUUUGACUUGCGAAUCACUGUAUAUCAAAAGAUUAAACUUCGUAGAGUGACUACUGUUGAAUAUGUUAUCUAUAGAACAGUUUGGUUAACACGUCUCAUAAACCAGUCCGAAAUUCGCUUGGGCCAUGAUUAUUACAUCGAUCGAUGAGCCAACCACAAAGCCGAAGUGAGCAC